rnacentral:rRNA from 1 species
CAUAUUGGACAAUGGGGGCAACCCUGAUUCAGCCAUGCCGCGUGUGUGAAGAAGUUCUUCGGAUUGUAAAGUACUUUAAGUUGGGAGGAAGGGCUUUAGGUUAAUACCUUGAAGUUUUGACGUUACCAACAGAAUAAGCAUCGGCUAACUCUGUGCAAGCCGCCGCGGUAAUACAGAGGGUGCAUGCGUUAAUCGGAAUUACUGGGCGUAAAGCGCGCGUAGGUGGUUCAGUAAGAUGGGUGUGAAAUCCCCGGGCUUAACCUGGGAACUGCUUUCAUAACUGCUGAGCUAGAGUACGGUAGAGGGUAGUGGAAUUUCCUGUGUAGCGGUGAAAUGCGUAGAUAUAGGAAGGAACACCAGUGGCGAAGGCGACUACCUGGACUGAUACUGACACUGAGGUGCGAAAGCGUGGGGAGCAAACA